GAUGAACGCUGGCGGCGUGCCUAAUACAUGCAAGUCGAGCGAACAGAUGAGGAGCUUGCUCCUCUGACGUUAGCGGCGGACGGGUGAGUAACACGUGGAUAACCUACCUAUAAGACUGGGAUAACUUCGGGAAACCGGAGCUAAUACCGGAUCAUAUAUUGAACCGCAUGGUUCAAUAGUGAAAGACGGUUUUGCUGUCACUUAUAGAUGGAUCCGCGCCACAUUAGCUAGUUGGUAAGGUAACGGCUUACCAAGGCAACGAUGCGUAGCCGACCUGAGAGGGUGAUCGGCCACACUGGAACUGAGACACGGUCCAGACUCCUACGGGAGGCAGCAGUAGGGAAUCUUCCGCAAUGGGCGAAAGCCUGACGGAGCAACGCCGCGUGAGUGAUGAAGGUCUUCGGAUCGUAAAACUCUGUUAUUAGGGAAGAACAAAUGUGUAAGUAACUAUGCACGUCUUGACGGUACCUAAUCAGAAAGCCACGGCUAACUACGUG
rnacentral:rRNA from 1 species